rnacentral:lncRNA from 1 species
ACGGUGGCUCUGCUACGCUAUCUUAUGAAAAGUUUGCUUUGUCGUCGUUGGACUUUCAAAGCAUGGCAUUGCAUGGCUCCAUAUAUAUCCACAUCCAGCUGUUAUCCUUUUGCAAAAUCAAUUAACCAGUCAUGGAUAUUCAUAUUACUACACCACUCUUUGAAUUCACUGUCAUUCAUACUAUAUGCCAUUCAAUCACGUGCUAUUAAUUAAAUUGUAAACUAUACUAUGGUAUGUUUGUUAAGACUUUAAUUGGUUCCAAAAACUACGUACAACCCAUG